UUGAAUAGAUGAGUGGUUUGGUAACCUCUCUGACGUAACGUACUCAAUACGGGGCGUUGAAUUUGGCUGUGCUCCUGGUAUGACAGACCGGUUUUGGGAACACAAGCGUUCAGUUGUGUCGACGCCAAGUCGAAGCACUGGUUCAACAUUGACGCCAGACACGUUGUCCUGUCUAGCACACCACGUGCUGCCCAACUGGUUUAUCACAAGAUACGACGUGAACACCACCAUGAAGCCCCGACGUCCCUUGAACUUUCAAGAAAUGGUUGGGUUUGGUCAAGGGACUGGUAUUGGAUCUGAUAUAUUAUCAUAAUUGUCACACCCUUUCGCUAAAUAUGAGGUCUUAAAAAUGCUUGGUAUUGCUCCUUGUGAGGUGUUACCCAACGUUAAUGACGCCUGUCUGUAUAAGUGGUACAUACUUGACACCUAUGGCGAAGGAUGAGCCAGUUAUUUUCGAGUUUGUACUUUGGGUGCAUCUCGUUCCUCGGGUUGCAUUGCGCCCGCGACCCCAUAGGAGUUCCUGGU